UGUUCAACUUUAUCAUGGAAGCUUUAAAAGCAGUGAAGAUAACCCAGAAUCAAGUGAGAAGAGGAGGGGACUGACUUCUCUGGGACAAGUGUUGGGGGAGGAGAUGGACCCCGCAUUUCUUUCUACGGUCCUAGCAGCUCCCAGGGACCCAGCUCACAACGGGGGCCCACCCAGCACAGCCCUGAGUGUUCCCAAGACUCCACGAAGGUGGCGUGAUGGGAGGCCUGGGACCCCAGAGGCCAUGUUCCUGUCCGGAAGCUCAGGCAGCACAUCCACCCUGGACUCCAGAUUCACCCCGCGUCUCUGCCAUCUCCCUCUGUCAUGUCUUGAACCCAGGAAAACAACGUGAACUGAUCAUUUUCCACAAUAUAGGCCUGGUCAUGUCAGAAUCAGGGCCUCUAAUUUAGGCGUCCUGGAAUAGGAGCUGUUUUGGGGCCUAAAGAGGGAACAGCUAAUGAGUUAAAAUAUUUUCAGGUGAAAUUAAUAUUCAAUGAUUAGAUUACUGGAAUAGGAGCUGUUUUUAGGCCUAAAGACGGAACAGCUAAUGACUGCAAAACAUUUUCAGGUGAAAUUAAUAUUCAAUGAUUAGAUUACUGGAAUAGGAGCUGUUUUAGGCCUAAAGAGGGAACAGCUAAUGACUGCAAAACAUUUUCAGGUAAAAUUAAUAUUCAAUGAUUAGAUUACUGGAAUAGGAGCUGUUUUAGGCCUAAAGAGGGAACAGCUAAUGACUGCAAAACAUUUUCAGGUGAAAUUAAUAUUCAAUGAUUCUAUUACUCAGCUGUUGACUUCUAUUAGUCAUAAUUCUCCUGGUUUUAGAUCUGAUGUGGAGGUUUAAAUCUUCCCCAUCUGUGUAUUUGUAGCUUCAGGGUCAUUGAUGACCUGUGGUUUUUAGGGAGGAGUGACUGAUUUCAUGUAUCAUGUAGAGGACUGGCAAUGCGGAUGGGAAGUUAAGAUUAGAACAGUGGGAGUUCCCGCUGUGGCGAAACGGGAUCAGCAGCGUCUCUGGAGCAAUGGGAAGCGGUUUCCAUCCCCAGCCCAGCACAGUGGGUUAAGAACCCAGCAUUGCCACAGCUGCAGCAUAGGCUGCAUCUGCAGCUCAGAUCUGAUCCCUUGCCUGGGAACUCCAGGUGCUGCAGUGUGGCCAGAAGAAGAAAAAAAAAAUGGAUCCCAGAUCAUGAUGUAGGCCAUGGAAGGUGUCAUGAAUUCCCUCUCGCUGUAACGGGAAGCCAGUAAGGCAUUUAAGAGCCAGAGUCACAUGAUUAGAUUGACUUGAGGGGCAGACAUAGGCACAAUCGUGAUGUAUCUGUGAAAUGUAAGAAUUCCGCCCUGACCUGAAUAGAAGACGGCCACUAGAAAAUCAGGAAAAAUGGGGUCAUGGUAGAUAAUGCCACCCAGAAAUGGGUUUAGACUUUACGUAAUUUUUUUUUAAAGUUUAGAACAGCAGCUGGUAAAUGGUUCAGAUUUUCCUACGUACGCAUCUAGUGUAUGUGUAUGAAUCAGUUUCGUUGUCAAUAUUAGUAAAAUAAUAUAAAAGACAAGAGAACUUAUCUAACAAUGGAUAUUUGCUGGGGUUUUGACCAAACCCACCAACAACCUACCUCUGAGCCUGGAUAGGCAAGCAGCCUUGUAGCUGCACAGGGUCCGGAAGGUACUCUGGUGCCGUCUCGUGGACAUCUGCUCUGACAGCAACUCUCAGGAUUUCCUCCUCUCUCUGCAUUGCCCUUGGGCAAUAUGCCCGUUGGUUUUCCUUCCCCCUCUUUCUUUAAAUACCGAGAAGUGCUCCACUAAGUAAGCUGUCUCGCUGAAUGUCUUCCAAGACACUGAGGCCAACCUACACCAGAACAAUCCAUUCACAACCUCAGCUCCAACCCAUCAUGUCAUGACAGCCUUAUUCAAUUUUUCAUGUAUUUGUGCACUUAUGUUUCUAUGAAUGUAACUGUGUAUGGAUGUAAUUAUUGAUUUUCUUGACCUUGGGAACAUUACCCAUUCAUGCCUACCUAUCUUUCUUUGUUUCUUCCUUCUUUUCUUUCUCUCUUUCUUGACCCCAGCUGAAGCAUAAGUGUGUUGUCUGCCCAUCGA